AGAUGCGAUCAGAUGAUCAGAAGAAUGGAGGAGGAGAAUGGAAACGGGCAGGUCGGCGGCCCGAGUCCUCCUCCCUGGGGGGAAGGUUCAUCCUUGCCCUCGGGCCCCUCCAGAGAUCUGAGACAGCCUGGAGACCUGUGGAGUCACUGGCACCCGCUGGCACCCACAGCGUCUCUGAGCACUGUGUGUGGGUGCUGCAGGACACAGGCCCACCGGCCAUGCCUGGGGGCGCUCCUGGGGUCUUUUAGGCACAGAACCCUCACUUGAGUCUUUGUCCCAGAGCUAUCUGCGAUUGCCCCCAGCCGGCCCUGGGCCCUCAUGGAGCAGUAUGAGGUCGUGUUGCCGUGGCGUCUGCCAGGCCCCCGAGUCCGCCGAGCUCUGCCCUCCCACUUGGGCCUGCACCCAGAGAGGGUGAGCUACGUCCUUGGGGCCACAGGGCACAACUUCACCCUCCACCUGCGGAAGAACAGGGACCUGCUGGGCUCCGGCUACACAGAGACCUAUACGGCUGCCAAUGGCUCCGAGGUGACGGAGCAGCCUCGCGGGCAGGACCACUGCUUCUACCAGGGCCACGUAGAGGGGUACCCGGACUCAGCCGCCAGCCUCAGCACCUGUGCCGGCCUCAGGGGUUUCUUCCAGGUGGGGUCAGACCUGCACCUGAUCGAGCCCCUGGAUGAAGGUGGCGAGGGCGGACGGCACGCCGUGUACCAGGCUGAGCACCUGCUGCAGACGGCCGGGACCUGCGGGGUCAGCGACGACAGCCUGGGCAGCCUCCUGGGACCCCGGACGGCAGCCGUCUUCAGGCCUCGGCCCGGGGACUCUCUGCCAUCCCGAGAGACCCGCUACGUGGAGCUGUAUGUGGUCGUGGACAAUGCAGAGUUCCAGAUGCUGGGGAGCGAAGCAGCCGUGCGUCAUCGGGUGCUGGAGGUGGUGAAUCACGUGGACAAGCUAUAUCAGAAACUCAACUUCCGUGUGGUCCUGGUGGGCCUGGAGAUUUGGAAUAGUCAGGACAGGUUCCACGUCAGCCCCGACCCCAGUGUCACACUGGAGAACCUCCUGACCUGGCAGGCACGGCAACGGACACGGCGGCACCUGCAUGACAACGUACAGCUCAUCACGGGUGUCGACUUCACCGGGACUACCGUGGGGUUUGCCAGGGUGUCCGCCAUGUGCUCCCACAGCUCAGGGGCUGUGAACCAGGUGAGGGGGCUCCUGCCCGGGUUUGCCAGGCCGAGGCCAGAGCUGGAUAGGGGAGGGGACGCCUCGGUCCAGGUCUCUGGAGCAGGCCACCUCCCCUCAGGCCAGGUUUAAUGCCUGAUUUUAUGUUUUAAGGUGGUGUUGGCGGGAAGCUGUGCCAAGUCCUGGGCCCUGGUGGGGUGAGGGUGGCAGGCGUGGGGAGUUGGCCACAUGGUUCCUGAGAGCACAGACCCUCCUGCAGGACCACAGCAAGAACCCCGUGGGCGUGGCCUGUACCAUGGCCCAUGAGAUGGGCCACAACCUGGGCAUGGACCAUGAUGAGAACGUCCAGGGCUGCCGCUGCCAGGAACGCUUCGAGGCCGGCCGCUGCAUCAUGGCGGGC
rnacentral:lncRNA from 1 species